rnacentral:lncRNA from 1 species
ACACACCCUCGGAUUGACGUGCGCACGCGCACCGGUUACCUUCAGGAGCGCCGAAGAAGGAAAGAAGGUUGGAAUGUCGGUGUCCAUACCUGAUUCUAAGCGAGGGAGAGGGAAGGGGGCGGGGUGGCCUCAGAGUUUUAAACUUGGGGAGUAAAAAGAAGUCUUGAGUUGGGAGAGAUGGGUGUCCCUGGUAGUGGAUGAACAAGUGUCCCCUGCAGGACUUAGUCCCCCAACCUGAGGUCGCCCCAAGAAGAUUAUGGGUCUCCGGGGGGAGUCCCUGGACGCCAGUUUUCCCAGAAGUCAGAUUCAAGUGAUUAGAACCAGAGACCCGGCUCUCCCCCAGCUAGAGCAGCCCAGGUUCCCUCUAGCGCCAGAGCUGCUGCUCUGCCACGCCGGCCAAUGGGAGGUAUUAGUGUUUAAGUAACUGCUUGGGUCACAGUAGGGGGUGGGGAGCUUUUCUGUUACAGAAUUCUAAAGGUCCCUCAAGCUUGGCUUCUAGGAAGGAAUUGGUUAUUUUUCUCCACUUGGGAUGCCGGAAGUAACUAGAAUCAAUUUGUUGCUAGGCAACGUGUUUUGAAGGACGCGUGUUUGUUGGACUCAAAUCUGGAUUCGACUUUCACAUGGUAGACACAUAAUAUCAGGUGUACUCCCUAUUUAAUCUCUGGAGUUGCUACCCGCUGAGGAUAUGUACCUUGGUAGAUGGUUGUGAAGCUAAAAUGACAUAAAAAUGUAUAAAGCUCUGACAUGUGGAAGAUGCUUAAUAAAUAACAAAUUUUAUUAUUAUUAUAAUAAAAAUAGAACCAGCUGGACCAUUUCCGGAACCAAGAGAAUACAGAGACGUGGCCAUUUUUUAAUUCUCUUAGUCAUCUGUUCACAUUCAUUCUUUAAAUCUCCUGUGAGCCCUUGAUGAUAGGUAGGAGGCAAAGGAAAAAUGCCAGAAUGGAAGUUUUUGAAAAGAACUCAAUGGAGUCAUUGACAAAUACAUCCCUAGUUUGAUAAGGACAUAGCAGGCCACUGCCUCCUCUAUUACAGGAACACCCUUACAUAGAAAAUGUCUUGUUUGAUUGAGGACUUUUCAUUUAAACAAGGCCAAGGGUAUGUCUUGAUCAACACAUUUGAAAACAUUAGUUUUGUUGAAUUUGCUUAGUACUGAUGAAUGGAUAAUGGCUGACUGGUUAUUCCCAUUGAUCCACUACAAGGAAGUGUAAGAAAACCUCAAAUUUGAUUAAACUUUCUUUCUCUACCUAUUCUUCCCCCUGACAGAAAAGCUCAAGUUCAUUUGUAGGAUGCAGUGUUUAGUUUACUUACUGCUCCUGAAGGGAGCAAAAAUGGAUUAAUGGGCUGGGCACGGUGGCUCACACUUGUAAUCCCAGCACUUUUUUUUUUGAGACGGAGUCUCCCUCUGUCCCCCAGGCUGGAGUGCAGUGGCGCGAUCACGGCUCACUGCAAGUUCCGCCUCCCGGGUUCACGCCAUUGUCCUGCCUCAGCCUCCCGAGUAGCUGGAACUACAGGCGCCCGCCACCAUGCCUGGCUAAUUUUUUUGUAUUUUUAGUAGAGACGAGGUUUCACCGUGUUAGCCAGGAUGGUUUCGAUCUCCUGACCUCGUGAUCCGCCCGCCUCGGACUCCCAAAGUGCUGGGAUUACAGGCGUGAGCCACCGCACCUGGCAAUCCCAGCACUUUGGGAGGCCGAGGUGUGCGGAUCGCUUGAGCUCAGGUGUUUCAGACCAGCUUGGGCAACAUGGCGAAACGCUGUCUCCACAAAAAAAUAUAAAAAAUUAACUGGGCAUAGUGGCACGGGUGCGGUGGGGUAAGGGGGGGUCGAAGCUGUAGUGAGCCUUGAUUGUGCCACUGCAUUCUAGCCUGGGCGACAAAGUGAGACCCUGUAUUAAAAAAAAAAAAAGAUUCAUGACCUUGGAGAAUAAAAGUAUGUUCUCCACAUCGAGGAGUGGUUAGAGUGAUCUGGCUUCCACCUUGGGCCUCAAGGUCUUCAAGUGCCAAGUGGAAAUACAUGCACUACCUGCCCCUGUAGCUCAGAACAUGGAAUGAGAGAAAAUAAAGCCCCUGACACAGAGCCUCGCACAUGACAAUUCGUCAACAACUGAGAUAUUAUUACUUCUACCAUAAUAUUCUGUAUAUAAAUAAAAGUACUUUCAGGAUAGCCGUAAGAAUUAAAGAUCAUUAGGUAAAGUGCCUGGUCCAGUACCUAUUUGAACCACUGAUGAUUAUUUUGCUUCUCUCUGAUGAAAAAGCACUACAUUUCAUCUUUAUUUGUAUAACUUGAGAAAUAAGUCACCUAACUUUUCUGCAGAAGUUAUUAUUGGUGUUAUACUCAAAAAUAAAGCACAGUUUAGCCCUGGCCUGUGCAUUUACACCACUGAAUAAAUUACCAAAAGUGUCUGUCUAGCAAGAGUUCGUUCUAACAAAGUGGAGAGGAAGAGCCAGUUUUAUACAAAUAUUGAAUCAUCCCACAACUACAUUUCAUGAAACUCCCUGAUUUUUUUUAAAAAGAGACUCUUGCUCUGUAGCCCAGGCUGCAAAGCUGGAGUGCAGUGGCCUGACCUCUCAGCUCACUGCAACCUCUGUAUCCCCUCAGCCUCCUGAGUAGCUAGGACUACAGGCACAGGCCACUGCCCCCCGCUAAUUUUUUUUUCUUUUUUUAUAGAGACAAGGUCUCACUAUGUUGCGUAGGCUGGUCUCAAACUCCUGGGCGCAAGCAAUUCACCCACUUUGGCCUUCCAAGGUGCUGGGAUUACAUGGCGUGAGCUACCAUGCCUGGCUAACUCCCUGAUUUUUAAUGGACUCAUUUUUAUUACAGAUCUGAAUGUUAGCAGUGCCUUAUGUUAAAAAUGUUUAAAUCACUUUUAGUGUUUUUCUAAUUAUAAAACAAAUGCAGAGAAACACAAAAGAAGAAAUUAAAACCAUCCAGAAUUCUACCACUCAGUAAUAACCUCAGUCAAUAAUUCUAUUUUUCCUUCUAUCCUCUUUGUGCUCACAUAUAUAUAUAUAUAUAUAUAUAUAUACUUUACAACAUUUGCAUUAGAUGUGUACACGGUGCCAGCAUCCUUUUUGCUUAACUUUUCCUCUUAAACAUUUCCCAAAUGUAUUUAAGCCUCAAAACAUUUUUAAUGGCUGUAUAAUAUUUAUCCAUAAUUUAUUCAAACAGUCCCCAAUUUGAAAUUUUUCAACUUUUCUUAUGUAAUUCAUUGUUUCAAAAAUAUUUGUUGAGGGCCGGACGCGGUGGCUCACGCCUGUAAUCCCAGCACUUUUGGAGGCCGAGGCGGGCGGAUCACGAGGUCAGGAGAUUGAGACCAUCCCAGCUAACACGGUGAAACCUCGUCUCUACUAAAAAUACAAAAAAUUAGCCAAGCGUGGUGGCAAGCGCCUGUAGUCCCAGCUACUCGGGAGGCUGAGGUAGGAGAAUGGCGUGAACCCGGGAGGCGGAGCUUGCAGUGAGCCGAGAUCGCGCCACUGCACUCCAGUCCAGGCGACAGAGUGAGACUACGUCUUAAAAAAAAAAAAAAAAAAAUUGUUGAGUACUUAGUAUAUACCAGGCAUUAUGCCAGACAUAAGAUUUAAUUGGUGAACAGUAAACUAUAAAAAUAAGGUUUUGAUGAACAUCUUUGUAAACAAAUCUUUGGUGGCAUCUUUCAUUUUUAGACUCAAUUCCUAGGACUAUGAAAACAACUUCAAAAGGCAUUCUUCGAGCUUCAAAGGCAAAUUUAAGAAACCAAAUUUCUGAACUGUAAAAUAUUAACUUUUUGGAAAACUACCAACAACGGAAUUAAUAUUUAUUUCGUGCGAAGUGUGAACUUACCCAGAAGAUGCUUUCUUGUUAGUUACUGUGAAGUACCCAGGGUAUUUGAAGUGUAUUGACUUUGGCUUUUACCUCUAAUCCUUUCCAGGAUUUGCUGGUUUUCUCAACAGUGUGAGAUUGUUUGAAGUCUAUGUAAAUUGCCCUACUUCCUUCUCUCAGUUAAAAUGUUAACUAUUUUAUUUCCAGCUUUCCUCUUGUAAGCAUGUGGCUUUGCUGCAUUUCUUUCAUUUACCUUUUCAUGUGAAACAUUUUGUAUUUUCACAUUUAUUAAUCUGAAGGCCGAUUUUUUUUUCUUCUAAACCCAAAUUAUAAUACAUAUAUUCCUAUAAGACAUGGACUUUACAUAUCCUGUAGUUAAUAUUUGUCAAGAAACAUCAUAUAAAUUAACCAAUGCAUUUAGGGAAUUUAAUAAUAGAUAUUAUUUAUUAAAAGCAACAAUCUUUCCUGCAACACACCACAUACACACACACACACACACACACACACACAAACACACACAUACCCUACUAUUCUUUGACAAUUAAACAUUCAUAUAUUAGGUCAAACCAUAUGAAAUUACCAUUCGUGGAUAAAAAAUGGUCAAAUAAUGGCAACUUCAUAUGGCUUUAUUUAUAUUAAUAUUUUAUUAAGUAGUUUAUAUUUUUUCAACUUUCUUCAAAUACUGAACUUCCUGAUUAUCAUACUAAGGAUAUCCUUUUUACUGCAUGAGAUUGUGUUUGUUUUGACUUUCAUAAGUAUUAGAAUCUAGUCAGGAGGGUGCCAUAAAAUGUUUGUUUAUUAUUUCAAAGACAGUAGAGGGAGCCUGGAGCCAAAACAGUGUUAUUGUAGGCUUCAUGGAAAUGAUUAUUAUCCUCCAAUUCUUGAUGUGUGGAUAAAUGUAAAUACUAGUAUAUAUGUGAAAUACCAAUUUUUUAAAUAUUUAUUUUAAAAAAGGUUGGUCGGGUUGGGCAUAGUGGCUGACGCCUAUAAUCCCAGCACUUUGGGAGGCCGAGGCAGGUGGAUCACUUGAGGCCAGGAGUUCGAGACCAGCCUGGGUGAUAUGGUGAAACCCCCGUAUCUAUUAAAAAUACAAAAAUUAGCUGGGCAUGGUGGGCCACUCCUGUAAUUCCAGCUACUUGGGAGGCUGAUGCAGGAGGACCGUUUGAGCCUAGGAGGUGGAGGCUGCAGUGAGCCGAGAUUGAGUCACUACUGCACUCUGUCCUGGGCAACAGAGCAAGACUCUGUCUCAAAAAAAAAAAAAAAAAAAAAAAGUUAGUUGUGCUUAAAUGACUUUCAUAAGAUGUGAAAGAGAAAGUUGGCAGCUGAACCUCAUCUGGGCUCACACUGGGGCCAAUCAGAAUUUCAUUGUUCUCUCUCUUCUCUGAGUAUUGCUAGAGACAGCACACUGCCACACGAACACAUCUGUGCUCUACAAUUUCCCCCUUUUCAAACCAUAGUGUUGAUCGCCCUUUCAUUUCCAUGGGCAUUAAUAUCAUGAUUCUUUAUGUCAACAGAACUUCAAAAUAUGUUACCAUUCCCAAUUUUGUAUCUUACAGUCAUUGUAGUUUAGUUGAUGGCUUCCUCCAGACAUAUAAGGAGGCACUUGGAUCCUGUCACCAACUCAUAUCCUAGGAAAGUGUUUAAUAACUUAACAAUCCUUUCACGGACUGGGAAUUUUGUUACCCUUAGUUAAAGAUGUCUCUUGCUGAGCUCUCCUCAAUCAUCUUUGCCCUUAGCCCAAUAUUUUGUUAAGUACCCACUGACCCUGGUGUUACAAAGGAGUUCCUAAGGUAAUAACUGGUGGUAUCAUCACCAUUCUUUACUGUAAAUAGUCUAGGGAGGGCUCCAAGUCCCUGAGGUAACAGGAAUCCCUAAAUCUAGAGAUAAAAUGGAGAAGAAUCUCUCUAUUGUAAAACCCAAAAGGAAUCCGUAGGUAGAAUCAAUCGGCUACAGCAGGGUUUCCUAAACUGGUGAUAAGGGAAAAUUCUUCUGGUAUGUUAUUAACAUGCAGAGAAAAAAGCAUUGCCCCUGGAGGAAAUUAGUUUGUUUGUUAAACUGUUAAACAAAGUUUUUUGUUUAAUGUAGAAUGUCUCAGAGGCUUUAGUAUGCUAAUAUACUUUGUCAGUUUCUCAGAGGGAGUUUUUUUUAAUGUGUAGGCUUUCUCAAAUUUACUUGACCAGGGAAUUUUGCUUUUUUUCUUAGUGCUGUUUAGGAACUCUUGAAGUACAAGAUACUUCCUCUGACUGUGACUUGAAGAUAGCUGUGAGAAAAAGGCCCCGCCCCACCCCCACUCAAUUGAGAAUCAACUAAUCUAAAAGCAAAUAAACCUGGGAAUUGUACCCAAUUAUAUAUUGACAUGAAAGGUGAUGUUGUUAAAACUAAACACAAGUUGAAGGGCUUUUCAUAAAAGCUGGGGAAAGCAAAUGUUGGAAAAACAUUCCACUGGGGUGUUUCCCCUGAAUUAAUAAACAAAUUUAAGUCAGUCUCAAAACAAAAUGAAACAGAAAACAAAGCACAUGGCCCUCAAAAGUGCCCUUUUUUCCCGUCCUGAGCACCAAGAGUCUCUACAUGUGGGCAUCCAUAUUCUAAUUUUCAUCAUUGCUCAGCUUGCCCUUGCUGGCUUUACACCGCACUGCUGAAACUGCUCUGGCAAAUAGUGUCAGAUUCAGAGCGGUAUGUGAGAGGGGACCUUCUGCUUCUUGCCUUAGGAGAUUUUUCUACUGCAUUUGACAUAAUUACUUCUCAUUCCUUUUUUUUUUUUUUUUUGAGACGGAGUCUCGCUCUGUCGCCCAGGCUGCAGUGCAGUGGCUCGAUCUCGGCUCACCGCAAGCUCCGCCUCCUUGCAGUGGGUUCACUGCAUUCUCCUGCCUCAGCCUCCCGAGUAGCUGGGACUACAGGCGCACGCCACCAUGCCCGGCUAAUUUUUUGUAUUUUUAGUAGAGACGGGGUUUCACCGUGUUAGGCAGGAUGGUCUCGAUCUCCUGACCUUGUGAUCCGCCUGCCUCCCAAAGUGCUGGGAUUACAGGCGUAAGCCACCGCGUCCGGCCUCUUUUUUUUUUUUUAGAUGGUGAGGUAGGAGGCAGGACUCGACUCGAGAGGCAGGGCUUGGACACUGGACCAGAUUGAGAACUAGCUAAAACAGGGCCAGGAUAAAAUCAGCUUUCAAUCAGAUAUACCCACUGUGUGCCAUGUCAAUUUACUAUUGCCAUAGCAACACUUGGUAGUUACCACCCCUUUCCGUGGAAAUGGCCCAAUGGUUACUACCCCUUCCCUAGAAAUUUCUGCAUAAACCAUCCCUUAAUCUGCAUGCAAGUAAAAAUGAGUGUAACUAUGACUGCAAAAUGCCCUGAGCUGCUAUUCUCUGCCUAAUGCUCCUGCUUUGCAGGAGCAGUCACAGAGCUGUAACACUGCCUCUUCAAUAAAGCUGUUUUCUUCCACCCUUGGCUUGCCCUUAAAUUCUUUCCUGGGCAAAACCGAGAACCCAGUGAGCUAAGGUCCACUUUGGCACUCACUUACCCUGCAUCAACAGGGUCUUGCUCUGUGGCCCAGGCUGGAGUGCAGUGGCGCCGUCACAACUCACUGCAGUUUCCACCUCCCAGUCUUAAGCUAUCCUCCCUCCUCAGCCACCGGAAUAGCUGGGACUAUAGUGUGUGCCACCAUGCCUGGGUAAUUUUUUUAUUUAUAUUUUUGUAGAGAUGAGGCCUUCCUGUGUUGCCCUGGCUGGUCUUGAACUCCUGGGCUCAAAUGAUCCUCCUACCUUGGCCUCCCAAAGUGUUGGGAUUACAGGCAUGAGCCACCAUGCCUGGUCUUUCUCGUUUCUUUCUGAAACACUUUUCUCUUGUCUUUCAUGAACCUCAUUCUCCCAGUUCUCCUCUUCAUGAGCUUCUUUGUGUGUUUUCUACCUGUGCUCACGCUAUAAAACCUUGCUGUGCGCUAAGAUCCCCUCCCACCCGUCGACAUGGUCUCCCUGGUGAUCUCGUUUACACUGACGGUUUUAUCGACCACCUUUAUGCUGACUGGCCCUAAACUGAGCUUCAGGUCACAUAUUAUCUAACUACAUGCUGGACAAAUAUACUUAAAUAUCCCAUAGACAUCUCAAACUCUAUUUGUCCAAAGCUGAGCUUAUAAGUUUUCCCUCUGCCCCAGUUGUCACUGUGUUACCACAACCUUCAUGUCAUUAAAUUCAAAAGUAACUUUUCAUCUCAUCUUAUUUGACCUUUCAGCUAUAUUUGACACAUUGUAUUCCUUUAUUCUGAAAACAUUUUGCUUUGUUUCUGUGGGUCUAUAUCUUGUAUCUGUGACAUUGUACCUUUCUGAUUUUCUUACUGUUUCUGACUACCUCUUUUUUUUUUUCUUUUUUUUUUUUUGCCAAUUUACAUUUCUCUAGUAAAUAUUUAAAUAUUGGAGUUUCUCAAGUCUCCUCGGCUACUGCAUCAGUGGUCUAUCACUGCAUAACAACCAAUCUUGAAACUUAGUGGCUAAAUGUAAUCCCAGCACUUUGGGAGGCCAAGGCGGGCGAAUCACCUGAGGUCAGGAGUUCAAGACCAGCCUGGCCAACGUGGUGAAAAGCUGUCUCUACUAAAAAAUACAAAAAUUAGCCAGGUGUGGUGGUGUGCACCUGUAGUCCCAGCUACUUGGGAGGCUGAGACAGGAGAAUUGCUUGAACCCUGGAGGUGGAAGUUGCAGUGAGCCAAGAUCAUGCCGCUGCACUCCAGCCUGGGUGACAGAGCGAGACUCUGUCUAAAAACAAAAGAGAAAAAAAAAAAAGAAACUUAGAGGCUAAAAAAAUGGCAAAUAUUUUAUUUGAUCAUGAUUCAAUGGGGUAGCAAGUUGAGGUUGGCUUGGCUGAGGGCUUCUGCUGCUCCUAUGUGUGGUCACUCAUGUACUUGUCUGGUGGCUGACUGGGGCCCCUGUAAUCUAUGACUUUAUUCUCAUGUAUGGGUGUUGGUGGUGGCUGUUGGCUGAGCCUUUGUCUCAUUGUCGUUUACCUUCUCAAAGGGUUAAUCUAGGCUUCUUAACAUGGUGGUCUCAAGGGCAAGAGCAGAAGCUGCCAGUCCUCUUGACUUCUAGGCUCAGAUUCCCCCUCAUCACUUUCACCAUAUUCUAUUGGUCAGAACAAGACACAAGGCCAGUUCAGAAUCCAGGGGUGGAGAAAUAAACUCCACCUUUUAGUGGGAGACAAAAAUCACAUUGCAGAGUCAUGCAAAUUUGGCAAGAGGCAUAUGUGGCUAUUUUUUUUCAGUAUACUACAACCCUUUCCUCUUCUUAUUCAUAAUCAUUUUCUAAGAGAUUUCAUCCAUUCAGCUUGGCUCAUUGUCCAUCAAUAACUCCCUAAUACAUGUCUUCUCAGACCUCAACUCUGAAUUCACAUAGCAUGAGCCUCCUUGACUUCUUCUUUUGGAUGUAUCAAUGAUACAAGCUCGAUAGCUCUAAAACUAUAUUAAUGAUUUUCUACCAGAAAUCUUGUCCUCUUUCAGUCCCUAUCUUAGUGACUAUAACCACUGGCAAGUAAGAAGCCUGGGCAAACCUCUUUUUUUUUUUUCUUUCCCCAUAUCCAAUUCAUAACCCAGUCAUGUCAAUUUUAUAUUCUGAAUAACUCUCCACACCAUGCACUUUUCUCUGUUUCCACUUCUACCACUUUAGGCCAAGCUACUAGCACCCUUUACUUGGAUUACUGCAACUGUCUCCUAAUGUCACUUCAUUCACUCUUGUCCCCUCUAUCAAAUCCAUUCUCCAUUCAAGAGCCAGAGUAGUCGUUUAAAAUGCAAUUUGAUAACUUUUUGUUCAAGGUUACAAACUAAGCAGCUAUGCUUGUCAUCUCUUCCUCCCAACACCUUUAUUAAAAUAAUAUAAAAUUUUGAAAAGCCUACAUCCAUAACAAAGAGAAUUGAGGCAGGGCUGACCAUCAUUAAGUUCAACAUUUUUAGAGGGAAGAAAGCAAUGGAGAAAUAGUGACUGAUGAAUCAAGAUAGAGGCAGUCUAAGCCUCUAUGUUGCAUGGAAAAUAGAUCCAAAAAGAGAUUCUUUUGGAAAAGUCUAGAUAUUUUGGACUAGAUGGCUGCAGAUAUGAGAGACGGACAUGGGACAUGGAACAGAAAAAAGAGAGGUUAAGUGAUGGCCUGCAAUGACCACCAUCCUCCUCAUUCCUUCUAGGACAGAACAGUUAGUAGCCAAGUAUUCCCUACCUUACCUUAGGCCAAAGAAGGAGGAGGAGGUGAAGGUGUACCUCCAAAAAUAUUAAAUGAACUCUCUUUUUUUUUUAAAAAGAUCUUCUGUCCUUCCUCUCAUUCCUAAGCUAUUACUGAUCUGCCUUUUACCACCAUAGAUCUUUGUAUUUUCUACAAUUUUAUAUCAAUGGAAUUAUACAGUAUAUACUUUUUUAUCUAGCCUCUUUUUUUUUUUUUUUUUUUUUUUUUGAGAUGGAGUCUCGCUCUGUCGCCCAGGCUGGAGUGCAGUGGCGUGAUCUCGGCUCACCGCAACCUCUGCCUGCCGGGUUCACGCCAUUCUCCUGCCUCAGCCUCCCGAGUACCUGGGACUACAGGCACCCACAACCAUGCCCGACUAACUUUUUAUAUUUUUAGUAGAGACGGGGUUUCACUGUGUUAGCCAGGAUGGUCUCGAUCUCCGGACCUCAUGAUCUGCCCGCCUCGGCCUCCCAAAGUGCUGGGAUUACAGGCAUGAGCCACCGAGCCCGGCCUUGUCUAGCUUCUUUAACUCAGCAUCAUAAUUUCAUAUUUAAUCAUGUUGCAAAAUCAACAGUUCAUUCCUUUUUAUUGCCAGGCAGUAGUCCAUUGCAUGGAUAUACCACAAUUUAUCUGUUCACUUGUUGAUGGACAUUUGGGUUGUCUUCAGUUUCUGGCUGUUACAAAUGGAGCUGUUAUUAACAUUCACAUGUACGACUUCAGGCUGGGUGCAGUGACUCAUGCCUGUAAUUUUAAUGCUUUGGGAGGCUAAGGCAGGAGGAUCACUUGAGGUCAGGUGUUUGAGAUCAGCCUGGGUAACAUAGUGAGACUCUGUCUCUACAAAAAAUACAAAAAUAAAAAAAAUUAACUGGGUGUGGUGGCAUGUGCCUGUAGUCCUAACUACUCAAGAGGCUGAGGUGGGAGGAUCACUUGAGCCCAGAAGUUUGAGACCAGCCUGGGCAACAGAGUGAGACCCCGUCUCUAAUAAAAUAAAUUAAAAUAAAAUAAAAUAAAAAUAAAUUAAAAAAAACAAAAAGACGUUCUAUGGACAUAUACUUUUGUUUUCUUGGGUAAACACACAGGAGUGUUUUGAUAUAUGUAUGUUUCACUUAGGGUACACAUAGGGUAAACACAUAGGAGUAACACAUAGGGUAAACACAUAGGAGUCAUUUGGUAUAUGUAUGUUUCACUUUUUAAGACACUGGCAAUGUGAUUGUAUGUUUUAUGUUCUUACCAGCAGCAUAUGAAAAUUCCAGUUCGUCUACUUCCUCACUUAGUCCAGGUAUAGGCAGUCUUUUGUUUUGUUUUGUUUUGUUUUGAGAUGGAGUUUCGCUCUUGUUGCCCAGGCUGGAAUGCAAUGGCGGGAUCUCGGCUCACCACAGUCUCCGCCUCCCAGGUUCAAGCGAUUCUCCAUAGGCAGUCUUUUAAAUUUUAGCCAUUCUAUUAGGUCUGUUGCAUUAUCUCAUUGUAGUUUUAAUGUUAAUUUCCCCAAUGAUUAAUGAUUUUGAGUGCUUUUUUCAUUUGCUGUCCAUAUAUUUUCUUUGGUGAAGUCUUUGUUCAAAUAUUGGGACUGUUUAAAAAUUUCCUUUCUAAUUAUUUAGAUGGGAGGGUUUAUAUACAGUCUUAUAUUGCUUAAUGGUGGGGAUACUUUCUGAGAAAUGUGUCAUUUUGUGAUUUCAUCCUUGUGGGAACAUCCUAGAGUGAACUUACACGAACCUAGAUGGCAUAGCCUACUAUACACCUAGGCUGCAUGGUAUGGCCUGUUGCUCCUAGGCUACCAACCUCAAUAGCAUGUUACUGUACUGAAUACCAUAGGCAAUUAUAACACAAUGAUAAGUAUUUGUGUAUCUAAACAUAUCUAGGCCAGGCUCGGUGGCUCAGAUCUGCAAUCCCAGCACUUUGGGAGGCUAAGGCAGAUAAAUCACUUGAGGCCAGGAGUUCAAGACAAGCCUGGCCAACAUGAUGAAACCCUGUCUCUAGCUGGGCGUGGUGGUGCAUGCCUGUAAUCCCAGCUACUCGAGAGGCUGUGGCAUGAGAAUCGCUUGAAUCUGGGAGGCAGAGGUUGCAGUGAGCCAAGAUCAUGCCACUACACUCCAGCCUGGGUGACAUAGCGAGACUCUGUCUCAAAAAUAAAUAAACAUAUCUAAAUAUAGAAAAGGUACAGUAAAAAUAUGAUAUAAUCUUAUGAGACCACUGACUGUCUGCAAUCUGUCCUUGACUUAAAUGUUAUGUAGCAUAGGACUAUAUAUAAAAUAUAUAUAUACACACACAUAUAUAGUAUAAAUAUGUAUAUACUAAUAAAUAAAUCCAUAUAUAUUGCCUUUUCAUUCUCUUAAAGUGUCUUUCAAAAGCAGAAACUUUUAAUUUUGAUGAAGUCUAGAUCAAAUUUUUGCUUUUAUAAAUCACUAUUGUGUGUUUUAUAUCUUUUUUUUUUUUUUUUUUUUUUUUUUUUAGAGUUUUGUUCUUGUCACUCAGGCUGGAGUGUAAAGGCGUGUUCUCGGCUCACUGCAACCUCCACCUCCCGGGUUCAAGUGAUUCUCCUGCCUCAGCCUCCCAGAUAGUUGGGAUUACAGGUGCCCGCCACCAUGCCUGGCUAAUUUUUUUUUGUAUUUUUAGUAGAGAUGGGGUUUCUCCAUGUUGGCCAGGCUGGUCUCAAACUCCUGACCUCAGGGAUCCACCCGCCUCAGCCUCCCAAAGUGCUGGGAUUACAGGUGUGAGCUACCACACCUGACCUGUGUGUUUUAUAUGUAAGAAAUUUUUGCCCAAUCCUAGACCAAAAAGAUUUUCUAUUUUCUUCCAGAAGUUUCAUAUGUUUAGGUUUUACAUUUUUGUCUGCUAUCCAUCUUCCUUAAUUUUUCUAUAUGGUACAAGGUAUGAAUUGAAGUCUAUUUUUAGUUUGUUUAUUUAUUUAUUUAUUUAUUUGAGACGAAGUCUCGCUCUGUCGCCCAGGCUUGGACUGCAGUUGUGUGAUCACGGCUCACUGCAACCUCCACCUCCCGGGUUCAAGCAAUUCCCCUGCCUCAGCCUCCCGAGUAGCUGGGAUUACAGGCACCCACCACCAUGCCUGGCUAAUUUUUUGUAUUUUUAGUAGAGAUGGGAUUUCACCAUCUUGGCCAGGCUGGUCUUGAACUCUUGACCUUGUGAUCCACCUGCCUUGGCCUCCCAAAGUGCUGGUAUUAUAGUCAUGAGCCACCUUGCCUGGCCUGAAGUCUAUUUUUAAAAACGUAUGGUUUUCCAAUUACUCCAGCACUAUUUUGUUUUUUUUUUUUUGGGAUGGAAUUUCCCUCUUGUUGCCCAGGCUGGAGUGGAAUGGUGCGAUCUCAGCUCACUGCAACCUCUGCCUCCCAGGUUCGAGUGAUUCUCUUGCCUCAGCCUCCCAAGUAGCUGGGAUUGAUUAUAGGCGCCCGCCACCACACCCAGCUAAUUUUUUUGUAUUUUUAGUAGAGACAGGGUUUCACCAUGUUGGCCAGGCUGGUCUUGAAAUCCUGAUCUUGCUGGGUGUGGUGGCUCACGCCUGUAAAAUCCCAGCACUUUGGGAGGCCAAGGCGGGCAGAUCACAAGGUCAGGAGAUCGAGACCAUCCUGCCUAACACAGUGAAACCCCAUCACUACUAAAAGUACAAAAAAUUAGCUGGGCGUCGUGGCGGGCGCCUAUAGUCCCAACUACUCUGGAGGCUGAGGCAGGAGAAUGGCGUGAACCCGGGAGGCGGAGCUUGCAGUGAGCCGAGACUGUGCCACUGCACUCCAGCCUGGGCGACAGAGCGAGACUCUGUCUCAAAAAAAAAGAAAGAAUCCUGACCUCAGAUGAUCUGCCUGCCUCGGCCCUGCAAAGUGUUGGGAUUACAGGCGUGAGCCACUGUGCCCAGCCAGCACUAUUUGUUAAAAAAUGUUUUUUCUACUCUGAAUUGCCUUUGUACCUUUGCCAAAAAUCAAGUGACCAAAUAAAUCAGUAUAUUUCUGGGCUCUAACAUGUUACAUUAAUCUAUUUUAUUCAUCAAUCUUAAUGUCAAUUUCAAAAUAUCUUGAUUACUGUAGAUUUAUAAUAACUCUUGAAUUCAAGUAAUGUAUGUCUUCUAACUUGGUUCUUCUCUGUCAGUUGUUGGUUGGGCGUGGUGGCUCAGGCUUGUAAUUUCAGUGCUUUGGGAGGCCAAGGUGCCAGGAUUUCUUGAGCCCAGGAGUUUGAGACCACCCUUGGCCACACAAAGAGACCCACCUCUGCAAAAAAUGAAAAAAAUUAGCCUGGUGUGGUGGCAUGCACCUGUAGUCCCAGCUGCUCAGGAGGCUGAGGCAGGAAAAUCCCUUGAGCCCAGGAAUUUGAAGCUGCAAUGAGGUAUGAUUGUGCCACUAUGCUCCAGCCUGGGUGACAGAAUGAGACUCUGUCAAAAAAAAGAGUUGUUUGGGCUAGUCUAGGUUUUUGGGUGCUUUUUAUUGUUUUUUUGUCUUGCAUUUCCAUAUAAAUGUUAAAAUCAGCUUGUCAAAUUCUACAGAAAAGCCUGCUGAACUAUUGAUUGCAAUUACAUUGAAUUUGGGAGAGAUUUGACAUUUUGUCAAUAUUGAGCUUUCUCACCCAUGAAGAUUAUAUAUCUCUUCAUUUAUUUAGAUCUCCUUUAAUAAUUUAUCUUGCAGUGUUUUGUAGUGUCUUUUCUUUUUCUUUUUUCCUCUUUUUUUUUUUUUUUUUUUUUUGAGAUGGAGUCUCGCUCUGUCACCCAUGCUGGAGUGCAGUGGCAUGAUCUUGGCUCACUGCAACCUCUGCCUCCUGGGUUCAAGCGAUUCUCCUGCCUCAGCCUCCCGAGUAGCUGGGAUUACAGGCACACGCCACCACGCCUGGCUCAUUUUGUAUUUUUUUAGUAGAGAUGGGGUUUCACCAUAUUGAUCAGGCUGGUCUUGAACUCCUGACCUUGUGAUCCACCCCCUUCAGCCUCCCAAAGUGCUGGGAUUACAGGCGUGAGCCACCGUGUCCGGACUUUUUUUCUUCUUUUUUGAGACAGGGUCUUGCUCUGUCACCCAGGCUGGAGCGCAUGGCCCACUGCAGACUCGACCUCCUGGGCUCAAGUGAUCCCCCUGCCUCAGCCUCCCAAGUAGCUGAGACUACAGGGGCCUGUGAACAUGCGUGGCUAACUUUUAAUUUUUUUUUUUUUUUGAAACGGAGUUUUGCUUUUGUUGCCCAGGCUGGAGUGCAAUGGCGUGGUCUUGGCUCACCGCAACCUCCGCCUCCCGAGUUCAGGUGAUUCUCCUGCCUCAGCCUCCCGAGUAGCUGGGAUUACAGGCAUGUGCCACCAUGCCUGGCUAAAGUUGUAUUUUUUUUUUUUAGUAGAGACGGGGUUUCUCCAUGUUAGUCAGGCUGGUCUCGAACUCCUGACCUCAGGUGAUCCGCCCACCUCAGCCUCCCAAAGUGCUGGGAUUACAGAUGUGAGCUACUGCACCCGGCCAGUUUUUGUAUUUUUUUGUAGAGAUAUGGUUUUGCCAUUUUGCCCAGGCUGGUCUCAAACUAGGCUCAAGCAAUCUGCCCACCUCGGCCUCUCAAAGUGCUGCGAUUACAGGCUUGAGCCACGGCGCCCAGCCAUGUUUUGCAGUUUCUAGUGUACAGGUCUUGAACAUCUUUUGUCAGACUUAUUCCUAAAGUAUUUCAUAUUUUUUGAUGCUACUGUAAAGAGUGCUUAAAUUUCAAUUUCUGAUUAUUUGCCAUUAGUGUACAGAAGUACAGUUAAUUUUUUUUUUUUUUUUGAGAUGGAGUCUCGCUCUGUCACCCAGGCUGGAGUGCAGUGGCCUGAUCUCGGUUCACUGCAACCUCCGCCUCCUGGGUUCAAGCAAUUCUCUGCCUCAGCCUCCCGAGUAGCUGGGAUUACAGGUGCCCGCCAUCACACCUGGCUAACUUUUUUAUUUUUAGUAGAGACGGGGUUUCACCAUCUUGGCCAGGCUGGUCUUGAACUCCUGACCUCGUGAUCCACCUGCCUCGGCCUCCCAAAGUAUUGGGAUUACAGGCAUGAGCCACUGUGCCCGGCCAAUUGGGGUCUCCCUCUUUCACCCAGACUGGACGGGAUUUCGCCAUGUUGCCCAGGCUGGUCUUGAACUCAUGGGCUCAAGCAAUCUACCUGCCUUGGCCCCCUAAAGUACUGAGAUUACAGGUGUGAGACACUAAGCCCAGCCAAAUACAAGUAAUUUUCGUAUUUUGAUUUGGUAUCCUGAAACUUUGCUAAAUUUGCUUAUUUCCGGUAGCUGUUCUGUGAAUUCCACUGAAUUUUAUACAUAGAAGAGCAUGUCAUCUGUGAAUAAAGACAGUUUAUCAUUUUCUUUCAUUCUAGGAGCCUAUUAUUUCUUUUUUUUUUGUCUUAUUGCACUGGUUAGAGCCUCCAGCAUAAUGCUGUGUAGAAGUGGUGAGAGUAGACAUCUUUGCUUUAUUUUUUAUCAGAGAUGGGGAAAGCAGUCAGUCUUUCAACAUUAAGUAUAAUGCUUUUGGUAGAUUUUUUAAUGAAUACCCUUUAUAAGAUUUUAAGUUUCCUUCUAUUCCUGAGAAUUUUUGUCAGGAAUAAACAUUCAAUUUUGCCAAAUGCUUCUUCUGUACCUACUGAGAUGAUCACAUGGUUUUUCUUUUUAAGUUUACUAUUAUGUUGAAUUGCAUUGAUUUUUCUACUAGUAAACUGAACAAAUUCUUGGGAUAAACUAACUUAGCCAUGAUAUAUUAUCUUUUAAAAAUAUUGCCAGAUGCAAUCUGCUAAAAUUUUAUUAAGAAUUUUUACAUGUACAUUCAUAAUAACAUUAGUCAUUGCUUUUCUUUCUUUGUAAAGUCUUUGUCUAGUUUUGGUAUCAGAGUAAUACUGACCUUCUAGAAUGAGUUGGAAAGUAUUCUUUCUCUUCAAUUUUCUGGGAGAAUUUGUAUAGAGUUUCUCUCUUCAAUGUUUGGUAGAAUUCCCAAGUGAAGCCACCUAGACAUGGAGUUUCUUUGUUGGAAAGUUUUUAAAACUUUCUUUCUGGUAAAUAGCUAUUCUGGUUACCUAUUUUUUCUUAAGUGAGCUUUGGCAGUUUAUGUCUUCCAAGGAAUUUGUCCAUUUUGUAUAAGUUGAAUUAUUGGCAUAAAGAUGUUCAUAGUAGUCCUUAUUGUCCUUUUAUUACCUAUAAAAUAUGUAUUGAUGCCACUCUUCUCAUUCCUGAUACUGAUAAUUUGGGUCUUCUCUCUUUUUUCCUUAUCAGUAUAAUUAGAGGUUUCAUAAUUGUAUUUGUUUUCUCAAACCAACUUUUGGUUUCAUCGAUCUGCUGUAUUGUUUUCUGUUUUCUGUCACUGAUAUCUACUCUGACUUUAUUAUUAUUAUUAUUAUUUUGAGACAGGGUCUCACUGUGUCACCCAGGCUGGAGUGCAGUGGCACAAUCAUAGCUCAUUGCAACUUUGAGCUCCUGGGCGCAAGUGCUCUUCCUGUCUCAGCCUCCUGAAUAGCUAGGAUGAUGGGCAUGCACCACCAUGUCUGGCUUACUUUGAUUUUUGAUAUUUCCUUUCUUUUACUUACUUUAGGUUUCAUUUGGCCUUCCUUUUCAAGUUUCUUCUUAAGAUGAGAGCUCUCAUGUCAAUGAUUGAAGGCUUUUUUUUUUUCAAAUAUGAAUGUUCAGCGCUAUGAAUUUCUUCCUAAGUUCAACUUUAGUUGCAUUCCGCAAAUUUUGAAUAUUGUGUCUUGCAUGUUCAUUUAGUUCUAAAUACUUCCUAAGUUCCCUUUUCUUUUUUUUCACUGUUAUAAUAACUUUAAUUUAUCUUGCAUUUUACAGAAGUCUAUGAACUAUUUUAAAAAAGCACCUCCUUACCCCAUAUCACGUUUCUCUGACAGGUGUUAAAGUAGGCAAUGAGUAUGUCAACAGCUUGAGCAUCAGCGUCUUGCAAGGACUUCAGACCAACCAACCACUCGCCAAAAAUCUUGGCAGCUUUUUUAUCUUGUUUUUAAUACAAUGGUAUAUCCACUCUGAUGGCAAACCUGUCCAGCCACAUCUCCACAACAAGCUUUGCAAAAUCAGUGAUUAGCAAAUUAGUUAGCUUUGGCACGGAGCUGUGCUCGCUUGCCCAUGACAGCCUGGAAGCCAAUUUUGAUAAUGGCAACAGAACAUCUAGAAUGACAAGUUUCGCACUGUAGGAAAUAGAGUCGCAUGUCCUUCUGCAGGAUUGUGUCCGGUGAUCGGCAUGUGUGACAAGUGACAUACUCCUUGAUAUAUCUUCUCAAGACAUUUUCUAUCUGUUUCUGUUGGAAUCUUCCUUUGAUUACAAGUUGGUUAUUACCAUCUAUAGAACCACUUGUACCCAAUUCAGCCAAUAAAAAUGCAAGGAGAUGUUUGGGUUGACGAUGUAAUAGUUUACAGAUAUCUGUAAAGUUGACAAAAGAAGUUUUCUUGGUUCCUACUCGGACGACUUGUGGAGGUUUCAUGACAAAUUUCCUUUUCUCCCCAGCAACCAUAUCUGGAUUCUUUUCCCUCAUGAUGUUGAACACUCGAUUCAGCAGCUCCUCGUAUGUGUAGUCUCUUUCUGAGCCUGCCCAAGCAGGGCCUGUCUGAUUACUGAAUGAGAUACCAUCAUCUUUUUUGUUGUCUUCAUCUUCUAGAGCUUCAUCCUCAUCUGGGAACUUAACAUUCUUCUUUUUCUUCUUUUUAUUGCCAAGCAUAAUGUCAAGGUCAUCCUCUGGUUCAGUUGGUUCUUGAACAUCACUUUCAAUCUUAAGAUCCUUUACACCUUCUUCAGCUUCAUCAAUAUCAAAUAUCUUUUUAGCUUCUUCUUCUUCUUUUUCUUCUUGCUCAUAGUAGGAUCAAAAAUCAUCUCGUCCCCAGACAUGGCUGCGGCUCGAGUGGGCUCGGCACGGACGGGAAGUCAGACGGGUCAGCCCCAGGCCCCGGCGGCAGCGCUGCCCCUGCCGAUACCUCUCCCACCCCUAAGCUCCCUUUUCAUUUAUUCUUUGACACAUGAGGUAUUUAGAAGUGUAUGGCUUAGUUUUCAAAUAAUUGGGGAUUUUGCAGAGAUCUUUCUGUUGUUGCUUUCUAAUUCAAUUCCAUUGUGAUCAGAGAAUAUACUUUGUAUGACUUGAAUUCUAUUAAACAUAUUUGUACUUUUUAGUGCCCAGACUAUGGUCUAUCCUGGUAAAUGUUUUAGAUGCACAUGUAAAGAAUAUGUAUUCAGUUGUUGUUACAUGGGGAGUUCUAUAAAUGUCAAUUAGGUCAAGUUGGUUGAUAGUUUUGUUCAAAUCUUCUAUAUCUUACUGAUUUUAGGUCCACUUAAUCCUACCAAUUAUUGAAAGAAGGGUGUCAAAAUCUCCAACUAUAAUUGUAUACUUGUUUAUUUCUCUUUGCAAUUUUAUCAGCUUCUCUACAUGUGUUUGCAAGUUCUGUUAGUAGGGACAUAAACAUUUAGGAUUGUUAUAGCCUCUUGAUAAACUGAUCAUUUUGUCAAAAUUAAAUGACCCUUUUUAUCCCUAGUAAUAUUCUUUGCUCUGUAAUCUACUUUGUCUGAUACUAAUAUAGCCCCCAGACUUUUUUUGAUUUGUGUUACCAUGAUAGAUCUAUCUUUUAUCCUAUUACUUUUUAUCUAUUUGUGUCCUUAUAUAUAAAGCUGGUCCCUAGUAGUUAGAAUAGAUUUGCAUCUUGCCUUUUUAACCAGUCUUAUAUCUUCGCCUUUUAAUUGUUUAGACCACUUUAAUUUAAUAUUAUGUUGAUAUGGUUGGGAUUAUAUAUUAUUUGUUUUCUAUUCAUCCUACCUGUUCUUUAUUCCCUUUUUCCUAUUUUUCUUCAUUGUCUUGGAUUAAAUUAUUUUUAUGAUUAAAUUAUAUCUCCUUUGUUGGUUUAUUAGUAUAACUCUUUGCUGUAUUAUUUCAGUGAUUGCUAAGGCAUAGAGUAGACAUCUUUAACUUAUGACAAUCUAUCUUUGAGUAAUAUACCACUACACGUAGAAUAUAAGAAAUGUAAAACAUGCUUCCUUUUCUCCCCUCUUGUCCUUUGUGCUUUUGUUGUCCUAUAUUUCUAUAUGUGUUAUAUAUAUGUGUUAUAUUUACAUUUAGUUUCCAAAUAGAUAAUACAUUGUCUUAUUUUUUGCUUUAAAGAGUUGGUUAUCUUUUAAAGAGAUUUAAAUAAUAAGAAAAAACUUUAUAUUUACCCACAUAGUUACCAUCUCCACUAUACUUCAUUCCUUUAUGUAGUUGCAGAUUUAUAUCUGGUAGCAUUUUCCUUCUGCUUGAAGGAUUACUGUUAGCAUUUCUUGUAGUGCUGGUCUGGUGAUGAUAAAUUCUUUUGGCUUUUGUAUGUCUAAAAAGGGUCCCUGUUUUGCCUUCCGUUUUUUCACAGAGAUUUUGGCUGGGUAAAGGAUUUUGUGUUGCCAGUGAUUCCCUCUCCUUCCCUCCCUUCAGGACAUUAAAAAAUGUUGCUCCAUUGUCUUGCACCUUCAUUUGCCAUGCUACACUUGCAUUGUUUCUAAAACGAAAUCUGUCAUACUGUUCUUUGUUUUUCUGCAUGUGAUGUUGUUUUGCCUCUAUCUGCUUUUAUGAUUCUCUCUUUAUUACUAUUUUUAAGCAAUUUUAUUACUCUGAGCCUUGAUGUAGUUUCUUCCAAGUUUCUUAUGCUUGAGGUUUGGUGAGUGAUAUGGUUUGGUUCUGUGUCCCCACCCAAAAUUUCAUCCUGAAUUGUAAUCCCCAUAAUCCUCACGUGUCAAGGGUGGGACCAGGUGGAAUAAUCGGAUCAUGGGGUGGUUCCCCCAUCCUGUUCUGAUAGGGAAUGAGUCUCAUGAGAUCUGAUGGUUUUAUAAGUAUCUGGCAUUUCCCCUGCUUGUACUCCCUCCAUCCUGCUGCCCUGUGAAGAAAGCGCCUGCUUCUCCUUUGCCUUCCACCAUGAUCGUAAGUUUCCUGAGGCCUCCUCAGCAGUGUGAAACUGUGAGUCAAUUAAACCUCUUUACUUCUAAAUUACCCAGUCUGGGGCAGUUUAUAGCAGCUUGAGAAUGGACUAAUACAGUGAGCAUUGUGAAUUUGUUGGUUUAUCAUUUUAUCAAAUUUGGAAAAUUUCAUCCAUUAUUACUUGACAUACGAUUCUCUCUUCCCUCAUUUUUCUUCUGUGGGAACUUUAGUUACACAUGUAUUAGGCCCCUUGUCCCACAGCUUGCUGAUAUUCUGUUCAUUUCUUUUUUUAAUAUUUUUUUCUCUGUGUGUUUCAUUUUGGAUAGUUUCUAUGAAAAUGUCUUCAAAUUCACUAAUCAUUUCUUCUGCAAUGUGCAAUCUGACAUUAAUCCCAUCCUGUGUGUUUUUCAUAUUAGACAUUUUAGUUUUCAUCUCUAAAAGUUUGAUAUGGAUCUUUUUUAUAACUUCCAUGUCUUCAAUUACAUGCUCAACCUUUUCUCUAGCUUCUUGAUGAUAAUUAUAAUAAUGGCUGCAUUAAUACCCUUGUCCACGAAUUCUAUCAUUUGUAUCAAAUCUAGGUUAGUUUCAAAUUACUAAUCUUACAAACACCCCUCCCCCUGUUUUUUUGUUUCUUUUAUAAGAGACAGGGUCUUGCUCUGUUGGCCACACUUCAGUGCAGCAAUGUGAUCAUAGCUCACUGCAGCCUUGAAUGUGUCUAGGUCAAAAUGAGAUGUACCCAAGUGUAAAAUAUACACUGAAUUUUGAAGAUGUGGUUUCAAAAAGUAAAGAAUAUGAAAUAUCUAAUGAAUUUUUAUAUUGAUUGCAUAUUAUAAUGAUAGUACUUUGCAUAUAUGUGUUAAGUAAAAUGUUAUCAAAAGAAAUUUCACCUGUUUCAUUUUACUUUUUUAAAUGUGGCUGGUAGAAUAUUUUAAAUUACAUAUGUUACUCACUUUAUAUUUCUAUUAGCAGUCCCUAGAUUUUAUUAUCAAUCACAGAAAAUCCUCCUUAAUUUCCAUUUUAAUCACCCUGUUCGCUGAACAUUAUUUUCUCAGCUCACUUCCUAUGGGACUCCACCUCUAAUAACUUUUCCUUCCCACUAAACUUUUAAUUCACUGAUGCUAUUACCUUUUCACUGAACCUUCUCCCCUCCCCUAGGGUCCUCACAGCCUUUCUUACCUAGCUAAAAUGCCAUGUUCAAUCAUUAAAAAAACAUUUUUUUUGAGACAAGGUCUCACUCUGUCACCCAGGCUCAAGUGCGGUGGCGCCAUCACAGCUCAUACAGCCUCAAACUCCAGGGCUCAGGUGAUCUUCCCACCUCAGCCACCUAAGUAGUGGGGACUACAGGUGCAUGCCACCACAUCCGGCUUUUUUUUCUUUUUAUCUUUUUUUUUUUUUUUUUGAGAUGGGGUCUCAUUAUGUUGCCCUGGCUGGUCUUAAACUCUUGGGCUCAAGCAAUCUGCCCGCUUUGGCCUCCCAAAGUACUGGGAUUACAGGUGUGAGCCACCACGUCUGGCCACAAUCAUUUUAAUCACUCCCUGGCAUAUACCUUUAAAUCCCUUAUGCUUCUGCAUGGGUAAUGGACUUAUCAGGAACAUGACUGGCUGAUCUUAGAGAGCAUGAUGAGUCAGGAGCUGAAGUUUAUACAAACGUGUUGCUGCACAAUCUAGUGGUGUACUGUGAUGACGUUUCUUUUCUUAUAUGGUCUUUUUUUUUUUUCUUCCCUAUUGUUCAUUGUUGGCCUGUAUCACAUCUUUAAAUUCUCAAAACUACUUGCUUGGUUAAAUCUACAACCCUGGUUAAAUCCAGAUCUCUGACUCCUUCAUGCCUGUAUCAGCACAGCAGACUGCGGCUGAUGGAAACAUAUGACCAGUUUCACUUCAGAUUCUUCCUGGUUAAUCUCAGGAGACCCUCAGUGCAGCCCUCCCUCAUACCACAUGUGCUCAGUCUGUCUGCUCUCCUUCUCUCCUGUACCAGUGGUUUUCAAACUGCGAUGGCUUACCAAGGAGAAAAGAGUUGAAGGGAAUUAGCUACCAGAUCCUCAACAUCUACAUGGGGUUUCCUAAAAUUCACAUCACAAAGUUUCUUCUCUCACUGUGCAAAACAAAGGCAAUCUCUCACCCCCUCCAAUCUCAGGGUGGCCCUGAGGAUCUCAAUACCACCUGGGCUAAGCCACAGGGCAGUUCCCUGUCACCUCUGAUCAAGACACAGAAACAUUUAACAUUUCUCUGUUCUGAGUAUAUUUCCAUUCAAGGGAAGUCAGCAUUUGACCCACAUUGAAGUGUUUUCAGUUCCUAUACAUUGUAGAGUAGGGUGGUAGAUCACUGACAAUUUUCGUUGAAAGACCCAGACUUUUUUUUGUCAAGAAUGCAUCACUCUUGGGGGAGAGUCCAGGAGAACAAAGAGAUGAUUAGUGAGAAAUAUUGGUGAGGAUAUUGAUUGGUAAAUUAUUGACUAUUAAUGAGAAAAAGAUUUUUUUUUAGAGUUAAUUAAAAAAAAAAUUGAGACCGGGUCUCACUACUUUGCCCAGGCUGGUCUCAAACUCUUAGGCUCAAGAGAUCCUCCCUCGUUAGUCUUCCAAAGUGCUAGGAUUACAGGCAUAAGCCACUACGCCUGGCCAAAAAAAAAAAAUGACUUUUUAAAUGUAUUUAAACAUUAGAGAACCUUUUUCUCUAUUCUCAUCCUUAGGGCUAUGUUAUUAGCUAGGAAGAAAAAACCUUUUUGAAUAGCAAAUCAGUGUAAGUUAAUAACAACAAUUCUUCCACUGUAACUGGAAUGAUUUCUGAGAUUACCAGUUUUAAAAAGAUAUAUUAAAUAAAAGCUAUAGAUAAAACUUUUAUGUGAUUUCUUUCAGAUUGGGUGUACUGUAUUAAAUAAUAUAGUUAGUACCUAUUUUAUAAAAUUAUAUCAUGAAAUAUUUCACUUACAGUCAACUUUCAUAAAGUGUUAAAUAUUAUCUACCUCCUAUUAAAAAAUGGUUGCUAGUGGCCGGGUGCAGUGGCUCACGCCUGUAAUCCCAGCACUUUGGGAGGCUGAGGUGGGUGGAUCACUUGCGCUCAGGAGUUCAAGACCAGCCUGGCCAACAUGGUGAAACCCCAUCUCUACUAAACAUACAAAAAAUUAGCUGGGUUUGGUGGCCCAUGCCUGCAGUCCCAGAUACUCAGGAGGCUGAGGCAUGAGAGUUGCUUGAACCUGGGAGGCAGAGGUUGCAGUGAGAUGAGAUCAUGCCACUGAACUCCAGCCUGGGUUACAGAGCGAGACCCUGUCUCAAAAAAACAGAAUUUUUUUUUAGUCAGCUAUGAAGUUUUAUUUCAUUAAAUAAACAGAAAAAUGUAAUUAUGAUAUAUAAUGCAAUUAAUGGAGUUACUUCUGAUUUUUAUUUAAAAGCUUUACUAAAUUAUUCUCAAAAGUAGACUAUCAGAGAUCUUAUAUGCACACAAACAUAAAUUUAAAUUAACUAUUUAAAUUACUUAAAAAUUUGUAAAUAAACAAUGGGACUAAUAAAUAAUGCAAUUAGAAGUAAUUAACAAUAGGACUAACUAAACAUGUGUGAGCAAAAUAUGACAAUAUUUUAAUAACUUUCUUCUUGUCCUUUGAUACAGCAAUUUGUUUUAUCUUUUUUUAACUCUAUAUUAGGUAUUUAAAUUUUGCAGGUUCUAUUAUUAUAUAUUCUUAAGAAAAAUACAUAUUUUAAAAGAACAUAAAUAGUAUUAUUAACCAGAUAUUACCUAUAUUUAAUAAAAAAUUGCAAUAACAUGUUUCCUUCUGUCCUGUGAUAUGGUAGGUUUUUUUUUUUAAUCUUCUGUUGCCUUUUUCAUGUUUAUUUUAUUAUUUUUUUAUUUUUUGAGAUGGAGUUUCUUUCUUGUUGCCCAGGCUGGAGUGCAAUGGCAUGAUCAUUCAAGCAAUUCUCCUGCUUCAGCCUCCUGAGUAGCUGGGAUUACAGGCAUGCACCACCAUGCCUGGCUAAUUUUGUAUUUUUAGUAGAGACGGGAUUUCACCAUGUUAGUCAGGCUGGUCUUGAACUCCUGACCUCAGGUGAUCUGCCCGCCUUGGCCUCCCAAAGUGCUGGGAUUACAGGCGUGAGCCACUGCGCCCGGCCGCCUUUUUCAAUAAUAUUUCUCUGAACUGCCUGCAGCUUUUACGACAUCCUUCCUUCCUUUUAUGCAGUGGUAAAACUGAAUACAGUCAAAUGUAAAUUCAUUUUGACUUGCAGCUCUGCUAUUAUCAAGUCCGUAUUAUAGAAGUUUAUAAACAGAAUGGAAUUUCCCAGGAUUUUCCCAGCAGCACUUUCUGCUGAAUAUGCAGAUAGAUGAGGAAAGUCUAGUGUUUUUUUUGAACAAAGUAUCAACAAUUUUUUGUUUUCUGCUUUCUGUAGUUUCACUAAAAUCUUCAUAGAAAUAAGGCAAUUGUUUGAAACUCAAUUUUUCAAAUUAAAGUAACUAAGAGCAGGAAAACAUUUUGUUGUUGCUAUAAUUCGACUCAUUUCUUAAUAUGUUAUAGGAGGCAUGAUCAUAGGUACAGCCUGAUGAGAUGAGUUCCAAAGGGCUGUACUGUGUUGAACAAUGUCACCCCCAACAUUAAAAUUCAUGUCCACCUGCAACCUGUGAAUGUGACCUUAUUUGGAAAUAAGGGUCUUUGUAGAUGUAAUCAAGUUAAGAUGAAGUCAUACUGGAUUAGGGUGGGCCAUAAAUCCAAUAUAACUGCUGUCCUUAAGAGGGAAAUUCAGACAGACAGACAGACAGACAGAUAGACACACACACGGAAGACGUGUGAUUCCAGGUGAGGCUGGAAGGAGAAAUUGGAAUACUGUAGCUUCAGGUGAAGGCAUGCCAAGGACUGCCAGGAUUACCUGAAGCUAGGAUGGAGGCAUGCAAUAGGUUCAUCCCUAGAACCUCGGAGGGAGCACAGUCCUGCUGACGCCUUGAUUGCAGAGUUUCCUUCUCCAGAACUAUGAGAGGAUAAAUUUGUUGUGUCAAGCCACCUGUUUUGUGGUACUUGGUUAUGGCAGCCCUAGCAACCUAUUACAGGGGCCAACAUGUCAGUUCUCAAAUUUCCCCCUUUUGUUUGCCCACAGGACAUUAUAGCUUCAGCUUGCGAAUCAGGAAAUGUAACUUCACUCACUUCCAUAGUGCCAUCAAGAGAAUGAUAAAAUACUGUGUGUUUGUUCAUGUGGUAUGCCCAUACCAAUUCAGUGGUCACUGUUCUUAACUGAACUUAGGUGUCUUUGGGAGACCAAAAAAAAAAACCUCUUCUGAUUUAGAAAUUCUUCCUUGUCUAAUCCCAGAAUUGUGAAAUCCAGCGUCCACAUGUGUUUUCGCAAUCACCUUUUCCGCAACGCCCAGGCCAAAGCUGUUUUCUGCAUAUUGUGCAAUGUGCGCCAUUUUGGCGACUUACCUCCCUAAUCAAGUCGUAUGUGUCCUUCCUUCUGUCCUUAAAAGAACACAGUCAUUUAGCGUUCCUUUUCAGCGAGAUCUGGGUCAUGCUGGUGAUAUUGCAGUUGUUCUAUUUUUCACGAUCUGAACUUUUAGAAAAUAUUGCCACAAUAUUCACAAUGUUAAAAAUUAAACUAGCACUCUCUCUGGAAUAAGGAGUCUGGUUCCACUCUUUGGCGUUUGACUAGCAACAGCAUUGAGCCCCACCUCUCUGUCUCUCUGUCUGCCCCACACCUGGGCAAGCUGAUAAGAAAGGCUGGGUGUUCUCUCUGUGCUGUGGAGAGACUCAAACUACAUAAGCUCCUCCCAACGGGGGAGCCCUCACCCCGCCCCCCACCCCCUAACUGCAAUAAAACUCAGAGCCAGUCUCUGUUCCCUGCUCUCUCAAGCCAUUCUGGAUUUACAGAGAGGCCUGCUCUGCUUUCCCCAGAGACUUCAAGUAUGUAAGUAAUCAACCUUUCCGUUAUCUCUUGAGGUGUACUUGGCAUUAUGAGUCUUAACAUCUGAACUGAACUUUGGGUGGGGCUUAUCCUAGUUCUCCAGAGUGGUCACAGUAAUCUUCAGACAUUGGGUGGGGCGCAAUGGCUCACGCCUGUAAUCCCAGGUAGGAGGAUCACUUGAGCCCAGGAGUUUGAGAUCAGCCUGGGCAACACAGGGAGACCCUGUCUCUGCAAAAAAUAAAAAAUUAGCUGGGUGUGGUGGCACGUGCCUGUGGUCCCAGCUACUCAGGAGGCUAAGGUGGGAGGAUCGCUUGAGCCUGGGAAGUUAAGGCUGCAGUGAGCCAUGAUUGUGCCAAUGCCCUCCAAUCUGAGUGACAGAGCAAGAUCCUGUCUCAAAAAAAAAAAAAGCACAACGGUUAAUCUAUAGGUUAGGUCAAACAGACUAUUAAUACCCACAAUUGCAACUCAAGUUGUAUACUUAAUUCCUGUUACUUGAAGUGAUGCCACAAUGGGUGAUCCAUUAUGUUAACCACAAACUACUGUUGCCAACCUCAGUGGUCAGGAAAAAUCAGUGAUAGUGACUCCCAAAGGCAGAGAGUCUAUGCUGUAUCCAUUUAACACUAUAAAUAGCAUGGCUUUCAGUCUCUAGUUUUCAGGGCCACUGUAUAGGUUUUGUAUUUUCUCUCCAACUUCUGCCCCCGUUACUGACAACCAGAACGUUUCAUAUCCUUGGGAGGGAUUUGCCAGGACACAGGGCUUUCAGAGCUAAAACUGGGGCAGUUUCAGUGAGAGACCUCGAGCAAGAACUGCUCAGAUGAAUCCUAUCCAAAUUCCUGACCUACAGAAACCAUGAGUGAUGACAGUAAAUUGCUGUUUUGAGCAACUAAGUUUUUGGGGUGAUUGGUUAUGCAGUACAGACAAUUAAAACAGCAACAAGGCCAGGCGCAGUGGCUCUCACCUGUAAUCCCAGCACUUUGGGAGGACGAGGUGGGCAGAUCAUGAGGUCAGGAGUUCAAGACCAGCCUGGCCAACAUGGUGAAACCCCAUCUCUACUAAAAAUACAAAAAUUAGCCUGGUGCAGUGGCGAGUCCCUGUAAUCCCAGCUACUCAGGAGGCUAAGACAGGAGAAUUGCUUGAACCCGGGAGGUGGAGGUUGCAGUGAGCUGAGAUCGCGCCAUUGCACUCCAGCCUGGGCAACAGAGCGAGACUCUGUCUCAAACAAAACAAAACAAAACAUAAAACAGCAACUCAAACUGGCUACAGCAGAGCCUGUAUCUUUUCUUUUAAACUCUAGUCUCCCUACAGUCUUCUCCGUCUCCUUAUGUGACAACUCUGCUCUUCCAGGUGCUCAGGUAAAAACCCUGGAGUCAUCUUGACUGCAUUUUCUCCCACAUCCAAUCAUUCACCAAUCAUAUUGGCUCUACCUUCAAAAUAGACCAAGAUUCUGACCUCUUCUCAUCUCCUUCACUGCCAUCACCCUACUUCAGGCCACCAUCAUCCUUUGCUUAGAUUGUUUCGAGUCUCCCAACUACUUUUCCUGCUUCCUCCCCACCCCCUUCAGUCUCUUCUUAUCACAGUAUCCAGAGUGGGUCAUGUUCACGUGUACGUUGGAUCCUGUCCAUCCACUGCUCAAACCCUCUCAAGGUUAUCUGCCUCUGCUAUAGUAAAAGCCAAAGUCCUUGCUUUGACUUCUAAGGCCCUCCAUGAUCUGCUCCCCAUGACUUCUCUGUCUUUAUUCCCCUCUACUAUCCCCCUUGGUCAAUCUUCUCUAGCCACAUGAGCUUCCUUGCUGUUGCUUGAAUACAGUAAGCACACUCCUGUCUUAGGGCCAUUGUACUUGCUGUUCCCUUUGCCUGGAAUGCUGUUCCAGCAGAUGGCUGCUUGUCUUGAUCUCUCACUUCCUUAAGUUACCUUCUCAGAGCAGCCUUCCCUGCCCAGCCUACCUAAAAUUUCAGCUCCUUUGAUCGACUCUUAUUCUUCUUCCUUGUCUUAUUCCCCUCUUAGUACUUUCCAUUACCCAGCAUGCUCUAUAGUUUACAUAUCUGUUUUUUGUUUGUCUCCCCACUGAAAUGAAAGCUCUGUGAAGGCAAGGAUUUCUGUCCUUUUUAUUCCCUGUUCUAUCCCUAGAGCCUAGAGAACUGUGCCCAAAACAUAGCAAACUCUUAAUAAACAUUCACUGUUCAAUGGGUAGUCAUCAUAGUGAUUGACACUGCAUAUUGAUUUUCAAAUUUAGAAUCAGCACUUAGGAAAAUAACAGAAGAUAAUUAUGAUUACAGAACAGUAUGUAAAUGCUUUCAACCUUAAGGAUGGUACAGUAUGAUGACAGAGGUUUGGAGGUGAUCAGGGAAGGAGAGGUGAAAAGAAGGGAAAGGACACCAAUGUCUUCAUCUUGCAAAGUAUCAGAAACAAGAGACUGGCUCUGAUGGUUAGAAAAUGAAGUAAACUUAUAAGCACAAAAUUGAAAGUUGUAACUUAUGGUUGUAAGCAUAACUGAUAGAACUAGAAACAAUGAAUUAACAUGGGAGAGAGAUGGAAGUGAUGAUAUGAAUCAUAACUUUGAGUUCAUCAAUAAUAUUGGCAAUGUCUGCUUUUGUCUGAUUUCCCUAGAACACAGAGCCCGAGGCAAAGCUUAAGUGCUUACGCUUUUGUCGGGAGGUACAGACCCAGCUCUGCGAGAGCCAGGGGAAAAGGAAGAGAGGCAGGGAAGGAAUGGCAGCAAGUACAAGGUGAUGAAUGACUGCACUGGCCAUUGCUUCAUGAAGAGCCACGAAAAAACAGAGCCGGUUUCUCAGCAGGUGGCUGGCUGCUCAGUCACAAAGGACCUCUUUGGACAGGCUUUAUGGAAAUACUGUGCCUAGGACAGUCGCUCAAAGGCAGGAGGGAGAGAAAAUGCAUCUGCAAGCUCACUUUGUCUUCUUUCUUCUGCUGGUCAAAAUUUGCUGGCUGGGGCAGUUAACGCCCUCACACAUCCGAGUUGUGUCACCUGGCCCCUUUGGUAGCCACUGGGGAAGCCAGAUCUAGGCAUGUGGCCUGAUGGCUCCUGCGGUGGAACCACAUGCUCACACUCAGUCAGUCACCACUGGGAUGCCCUGGGCAGGGCAGGCUGAGUGGCUGGGAGAUAGCUGAGCCUAAGAUAUCUAAGCAAGCACCUGUGAUGUAUGCACUGCAGUGUCCAAAUGUGAAAAAGCAAGAAAGGGAGAUAGAAGCAUAUUUUUUUCUGGAGAGAAGGAGGAAACCACCAGGAGAAUACAAACAGAAAAAAGGUAAGGUGGUUGUCUCUGGAGGUGGGAAAGAGGUUGGAGAGCAGAAUGUUGCAUCUUAUUAUUAUUAGCAUUCCUGCACAAUUUUUUAAAUGCAUGGAUACAUUGAUAGAAAUCACUUUUUAAAAACUCAAAAACUAGGUUUUAUCACUCCUCUUUCCCAAAUUCUUCAAUGGUGUCCCAUUGCUUUUAGGAUAAUUGAAACAGAUUGAGCAACACUAUUUUUCUGUGGGAAUAUUAGCUCUUAGACACUGCAAGUUAAUAUUGUUGUUAUUUAUAUAGCCUAAGUUUGUUCUAUUAAAAAUUUACUAUUCAGGCUGGGUGCAGUGGCUCUUGCCUGUAAUCCUAGCACUUUGGGAGGCCAGGGUGCGUGGAUCACUUGAGCCCAGGAGUUCCAGAAUGGGCCUGGUCAACAUGGCAAGAUCCCAUCUCUACAAAAUUUUUUUUUUAAUUAGCUGGGCAUUGUGGCAGGUGCCUGCAGUCCCUGCUACUUGGGAGGCUGAGGUGGGAGGAUCGCUUGUGCUUAGGAGGUCGAGAUUGCAAUGAGCUGUGAUUGCACUAUUGCACUCCAACCUGGGCAACAGAGCAGGACUGUGUCUCAAAAAAAAAAAAAAAUCACUAUUGAAAUACUCAGUGAAGUAUCAGUGAUUUUGUAGUAAGCUUCCACAAGUACAAUAUUUAAGGGAAAAAAAGUGCAGCUGCUCAUUUUGAUUUUAGGGGGUUUCAGUUCUGAACUAAAGUCCCUGAAUAUCAAGGUCCUGCUGGCCUCUCCUGGCUCACAGUGAGUGACUUCCUCUUUCUUUCUGCUCAAACCAUAUUGGCUCCUUUUCUGCUUGUUGGACCCCUGAGUCUUUCUUCCACUUCAGGCUUUUGCACCAGGAGCUCCCUUUAUGCCCAUGACUCCUCUCCUCAACCCAUCCUCCAACACGCCUAGUCCAGUAUUUACCAAGCUUCAGGUUUACACCUAACACCUUCAUGUUUGCCCUUUCUGUGUAAUGCGUACUCUAUUAUUUUUCUUAUGAUCUUUUUUACAUUGACAGCUUUUAAAACUUAAAUACAUUUAUUUUACAAGGAAAUUUUAUAUGCCAACGUAAAUGGAAAGCCAAUUUCACUGGCCACAAAUAAUGCAAAACCAUAAAAUACAGAAUAAUGACAAUAAUAUAUCUGUGUACCACUAGUUUCUGUAACAUACUUUGCAACACCCUAGUUUAAUUACUUUUUACUCAUUGUUGAGUUAUUUAUUAGCUUAAAUAUUGCUUUGUUUUAGGGAAGUCUUCUCUAACUGCUUGGACUAGACCAAGCUCCUAUGCAGCACAUUCCUGGACCAUGACUGCAUAACAUUUGUGAGCUACGCAGCACUCAUAGUUACAUAUUUGUGUGAUUAUUUUACAGUGUUUGCCUUGCCAACUGGACUUAAGCUUCAUGAGAACAGGAUUUGUAUUAAUUUUGCUCCCCUCACAUCUGUGCUGACCACAGCGUGAGCCUAUUGUUAAUGCUUAAAAAAUACCUACGGAAUGAAUAAGUGAAUACCUGUAUGAAAUUAUCACCUGAGAGCAACCAACUUCCUUUGUUUUGCUUCCAUGCCCACCAAUACGUCUUCUAACUACAAUGAAGUUUCCUCAAAUUCCUCUUCUUUUUUUUAGAGACAGGGUCUUUCAGUCUGUCACCCAGGCUGGAGUGCAGUGGCUCAAUCAUAGCUCACUGUAACCUCCAAUUCCUGGGCUCCAAUGAUCCUUCUGCCUCAGCCUCCUAAGUAGCUAGAACUACAGGCACAUAUCACCAUGCACAACUAAUUUCUUGAAAAAUUUUUGUAGCCCAGGAGUUCCAGACCAGCCUGGUCAACAUGGCAAGAUCCCAUCUCUACACUAUAUUGCCCAGGCUGGUCUCAAACUCCUGGGCUCAAGCAAUCCUCCUGCCUCAGCCUCCUGCAUAGCUGGGACUACACAUUUGCAUCACUGUACUCAGCUCUGAAAUUAUUUUUGAAAGAAAGCAGGGUAAAUAUAAGUAAUGUAUGAAUAAAUGAAUAGAUGGAUUUCAGGAAGAGGGUGGCCUGGAGUGGCAAAUCAUAGUUACCAAAAUGACUGCAACAGUCUCUCCCAUUCCACGUGUUCUGCAGAGGGACUUUGUCACUCCCACAUCAAGAGACAGAAUCUGGCCGGGCACGGUGGCUCAUGCCUGUAAUUCCAGCACUUUGGGAGGCUGAAGCAGGCAGAUCACUUGAGGUCAGGAGUUCGGGACCAGCCUGGCCAACAUGGUGAAACCCCAUCUCUACCAAAAAUACAAAAAUUAGCUGGGCAUGGUGGCACAUGCCUGUAAGCCCAGCUACUCAAGAGGCUGAGGCACAAGCAUCGCUUGAACCCGGGAAGCGGAGGUUGCAGUGAGCUGAGAUUGUGCCACUGCACUCCAGCCUGGGUGAUGGAGAACUCUGUCUCAAAACUAAAUAAAUUAAAAAAGAAAAAAAGACACAGAAUCUAAUUCCCUCCUUUUGAAUAUAUAUUAGUCUAAGUGACUCACUUGAACCAACAAAUGUGACUUCCAAAGCUAAUCAGAAAGGUCAGUCAGCUUCCACCUUUCUCUUAGAACAUUCACGGCCUGGCUGUGCCUCUCAGGACACUCCCUCACCGGGCCCAGCCACCAUGCUGUGAAGAGCCAAGCCACAUGGGAAAGCCACGUGGCAGGUUUUCUGGUUGCCAGCUCCAGCUGAGCCCAGUCUUCAAGCCACCCUAGCCCAGGCAACAGACAUGUGAGUGGGGCAGCCGCCAGGUGAUUCCUGCCCCUAGUCAUUCCAGUUUUCCCAACUGACACCCUAGAUAUUGUGGGGCAAAAAUAGACCAUCCUUGUUGUACUGUAUCUGAAUUCCUGACCCACAGAAUCUGUGAGCACAGUAAGAUAACUAUUGUCUACACCACUAAGUUUUGGGGGUGGUUUGUUGUGGAGUAAUAGAUAACCAGAACAGAAUUUGGUACCUGGAAGUGGGAUUCUCCCAUAACAAAAACCCAAAACAUAAGCGAAAGCAAUCAGCUUUUGACUAGUCAGCAGAAAGAAGCUUGUGGAAAUAAAGGAAGAUCAACCAAAUGAGAAUAACCAAAGGCUAUUUAUUUAGAGCUUGCUGUAGCAAGGGAGCCAGCUGCCAUUACUUGCAUUUGGGAAGACACUCAAAAGCAGGCGGGAGUGGGAAAGCUUUUAGUGGAAAAAAGGGAAGGCUUUGGGUAUGCCCUAUUGGAGGCUGCUGGCAUUGGGAAGCUUUAGUUAGGCUAACUAGAAGUGGGGCAUCCUCUUUGACUGGUUAGACUGCACAUUUGGCUUUCCCUGGUUGGCUGUAAGUUGGAAGUGGGGACAAAAAUAAAAAAAUUAGGGAAGCUGUCAGUUAUUAAUCAAGUCUUGGUCAUUUGGGGCCAGUUGUUACAGAGGCUAUUGUUUGGUUUCCUGGAUUGUUGCUAGAGAUAGCAGACUGAUUUCUAGUAGGCUUGCUUCUUCGGCUGGUUUCUCUAAAUCAUGGGCUGGUUUUCUAGGUUGGUUGCUGCAGAUUGUGGGUCAGAGUUCUAUUUUUUCAUAUUUUCUGGCCAUUGUCUGUAUGUAUAUUCAGUCUUUCAGGCUUAAAUGGCCUUGAGAAGUUUGUUGGUGAAAGCUGGACUGACCUUGAGAAGACUACCAGUGAAGGCUGGAAAGAUGGGGAGGAAGUUAUGACUGGAGGGUGGAAGAAAAGUGACCUCGUUAAAUGUAGCAAAAGGUUUAGCAACAUUGCCACCUACAGUAACACUGAAAAUAGAAAAUAUACCUAAUGAACCAGUGGGUUUGGCCAAGGAUAUUUCCUGGCAGACAAUUUAAAGUGUCAAUUUGUUUCUACUUAUGAUGAAAUAUGGCUGGAGAAAGAGGAACUGUCAGUUUUCCAGCACACUUUAGAGGAAGUAUGGAGGGCUCAAAUCAGUCUUUCUAGUUAGCAAAGCAUUCUGAAGGUCCUCAGUGCAAUGGCUGAAUUGGGGGCACAUUCUGAUACUAAAUUCAGUCUCAAUAGCAGCUCACAUCCCUCCCACAUAGAAAAUGUACUCUCCCUUUCCUGAAGGUCUACAGAGUCUUAUCCUAUUACUGCAUCAGUUCAAAGUCCAAGAUUUUGCCAUCAAAUCAGGUGCCAGCGCUGAUGAGGUUUCUCGGGUACAGCCCCUUUAGUAUGGUUUCUCGAAAUCUGGAAGACCUGAGGGCCAAAGACACAAGUGGUGUUUUAAGAUCCUUGAAAGGCCUACUUCUGUCUGAAAGUGUUCAUGAGGUACCAUCUGAAAUCUUUCUGAGGUCUUAUAACAGUAUUUAGAGUCACAUCGGUGGCUGCAUCUUUUCUACGUGGGAGGGAUGUGAGCGGCUAUUGCUGGCAUGUGGGCUGUGACAGAUUGCGCUUUUCCAAAGAUGAUGGUGUUGAUGAAAAGAGUCAAACUCUGUAAAAUAGUAAAAGAGGUUUAUUCUGAGCCAAAUAUGAGUGACCAAGGCCCGAGACGCUGUCUCAAGAGGUCCUGAGAACAUGUGCCCAAUGUGGCUGGGUUACAGCUUGAUUUUAUAUAUUUUAGGGGGACAGAAGUUACAGGCAGACAUCAAUCAAUACAUGUGAGGUGUACAUUGGUUUGAUCCAGAAAGGUGAGACAACUCAAAGCAGGGGCUUCCAGGUCACAGAUGGAUUCAACAACUUUCUGACUGGCAAUUGCUAGAGAGAGCUAAGUUAUUAUCUAAAGACUUGGAGUUGGCUGGGCACAGUGGCUCCCGCCUGUAAUCCCAGCACUUUGGGAGGCUGAGGAGGGCAGAUCACUUGAGGUCAGGAGUUUGAGACUAGCAUGGCAAACAUGGUGAAACCCUGUCUCUACUAAAAAUACAAAAAUUAGCCGGGCAUGGUGGCACAUGCCUGUAAUCCCAGCUACUCGGGAGACUGAGGCAGGAGAAUCAGUUGAACCCGGGAGGCAGAGGUUGCAGUGAGCUGAGGU